UUGGAAGGGCGGAGGAUCGCUUUCAUUUCGCUUCGGCGGGGUGGAGGAGGAAAGUCCGAACACCAAAGGGCGCGAUGCCGCGUAACCCCGGUUUGGCCGGGGAUACACGCGGGAGGUGCCCCGAAGCAAUUCGGGGCCCGACGGAUAGUGCCACAGAAAAUAAACCGCCUUUUGUCUCUGGAGCAAUUCAGGGCCAGAAGGUAAGGGUGAAAAGGCGGGGUAAGAGCCCACCGCUCCAAGCGCAAGCGCGGAGGUACGGAAAACCCCAUCGGGUGCAAGGCCAAAUAGGGGACCCCGGAGUUGCCCGCUCCAUGUUCCGCAUGCCGGAACGGGUCCCGGGUACUGGCUGCUGAGACAAAUGAUUCUCUCCUUCGCUUGUGUAUGCACGAGCGGAGCAGACAAAAUUCGGCUUACAGCCCUUCCAAAAUC
rnacentral:RNase_P_RNA from 1 species